UUAAGUUCAGCGGGUAUCCCUACCCGAUCCGAGGUCAACCUUGAGAAGGUGGGUUUAACGGCAUGAGAGGCCCGUCGCCGCCAGCGAACACGGUAGUGCCACAACGCUGGGCUCGGGACGCUCCCGCCGGAGACAUGGGGGCCCGGGUCACCCCCGGGGCCCAAUACCAAGCGAGGCUUGAUGGGUGUAAUGACGCUCGAACGGGCAUGCCCCCCGGAAUGCCAGGGGGCGCAAUGUGCGUUCAAAGAUUCGAUGAUUCACUGAAUUCUGCAAUUCACAUUACUUAUCGCAUUUCGCUGCGCUCUUCAUCGAUGCCAGAACCAAGAGAUCCGUUGUUGGAAGUUUUUUGAUAUUCAUCAAUUGAACCGACGUCGGGACGCAAGAGUGGGUUGGGGUCCGCCGGGGGCCCCAACGCGAUAAACGCGCCGGGUCGCCCCCGAGGCAACACAGUCAGAAACACAAAGGGUUGGAGGUCGGGCCGGGGGCCCUCACUCGGUAAUGAUCCCU
rnacentral:misc_RNA from 1 species